rnacentral:lncRNA from 1 species
AUGAAUAACUAUCUUCAAAGAGAACAUAAUAAAAAAGAAACACAACUAAAAAUCCAUAAAAUUAUUCCAUUUCGUAAACUACACAAAAUAGAAGAAGUAGUAAAUAAGUUAAUGACUGAAGCAGUAACUGAGGUAGAAGAAGAAGAUAAAUCAAAAUCAUUUAUACAUAAAAAAAAUAAAAACAUUUUAAAUGCUCAUGACAUAAGUAAAAUAAAACAAAAAAAAAAUCUUGAAAAUUUUAUAAAUACAUUAAACAAUCUGUUUAAUAAUUUUAUCUUACGUAGUUUAACGCAUAUGUAUGCUGAUCAGAGUUUGAAACAAGGGACGAUUAUGGAGUUGUUACAUAAUAAUAAUGUAGGUAGUGUCGUUAGUGAUAGUAAUAUUAACGUUUGGAAUGAAAUAGAUACAAAGAAAAAAAAUACCAAACACACAAUAGACAGUAUAACACUAUGUAACAAAAGUAUAUCUCAUGUAGUUAAUGGUACUACAUAUACAAAUGUUGCUAAAAACAACUUCAAUCUUUUUGGUAAAUACAAUUAUAAACAUCUAACAAAAAAUAAAAAUAAAAAAAAUCUGAAUAGAAAAAAUGAGAAUGAUACAACGAAAAAGGUAGAGACUGGAAUAAAAAUAAAACAACAUACUAAACACAUGAUAAGUUACAAAAAUAGAAAUUAUCACAUGUAUUUAAAUCGAUACAUUUUUUAUAAUAAAAUAUCUUGCGGUUAUAAUAAAAAUAGUUCUAUUUGGAAUAAGAAAUUACUCAAGUUAUAUAUAAAAACAAAACAGAAAAAUAAAAAAAUAAAUAAAAAUGGGUUAAACAGGUUAAACAGGUUAAACAGGUUAAACAGGUUAAACAGGUUAAACGGGUUAAACGGGUUAAACGGGUUAAACAGGUUAAACGGGUUAAACGGGUUAAACAUGUUAAACGGGUUAAACGGGUUAAACAGGUUAAACAUGUUAAACGGGUUAAACAGGUUAAACAGGUUAAACGGGUUAAACGAGCUAAAACAAACGGAGUAUAAUAACGUGAAUAUUGAUUUAGAAAAAAAAAAUAAUUACCAAAGGAAUAGACCAUUUGACGUAAAAACACAAUUAAAAACAAGAUAUAUAACUACUUUAAAAAAACAAAUUGUUUUAUUAAUUAAAUAUUUAUAUAACUUUUUUUUUUUAUCAAAAUAA